rnacentral:rRNA from 1 species
GAGAAUGCCGGUGUGAGUAGCGAAAGACGGGUGAGAAUCCCGUCCACCGAUUGACUAAGGUUUCCAGAGGAAGGCUCGUCCGCUCUGGGUUAGUCGGGUCCUAAGCUGAGGCCGACAGGCGUAGGCGAUGGAUAACAGGUUGAUAUUCCUGUACCACCUAUAAUCGUUUUAAUCGAUGGGGGGACGCAGUAGGAUAGGCGAAGCGUGCGAUUGGAUUGCACGUCUAAGCAGUAAGGCUGAGUAUUAGGCAAAUCCGGUACUCGUUAAGGCUGAGCUGUGAUGGGGAGAAGACAUUGUGUCUUCGAGUCGUUGAUUUCACACUGCCGAGAAAAGCCUCUAGAUAGAAAAUAGGUGCCCGUACCGCAAACCGACACAGGUAGUCAAGAUGAGAAUUCUAAGGUGAGCGAGCGAACUCUCGUUAAGGAACUCGGCAAAAUGACCCCGUAACUUCGGGAGAAGGGGUGCUCUUUAGGGUUAACGCCCAGAAGAGCCGCAGUGAAUAGGCCCAAGCGACUGUUUAUCAAAAACACAGGUCUCUGCUAAACCGUAAGGUGAUGUAUAGGGGCUGACGCCUGCCCGGUGCUGGAAGGUUAAGAGGAGUGGUUAGCUUCUGCGAAGCUACGAAUCGAAGCCCCAGUAAACGGCGGCCGUAACUAUAACGGUCCUAAGGUAGCGAAAUUCCUUGUCGGGUAAGUUCCGACCCGCACGAAAGGCGUAACGAUUUGGGCACUGUCUCAACGAGAGACUCGGUGAAAUCAUAGUACCUGUGAAGAUGCAGGUUACCCGCGACAGGACGGAAAGACCCCGUGGAGCUUUACUGUAGCCUGAUAUUGAAAUUCGGCACAGCUUGUACAGGAUAGGUAGGAGCCUUUGAAACGUGAG